AAAAUUUGGUCUGUUCGACCAUUAAAUUUUUACAUGAUCUGAGUUCAGACCGGCGUAAGCCAGGUCGGUUUCUAUCUUUAGUAUAAUAAAAUAUUUUAGUACGAAAGGACCCAAUAUU
rnacentral:rRNA from 1 species